AUGAAAUCCACCGCCGGCCGGCAAGCCACGUGGCAGCAAUUCUCGUCUGCGCAUUCAGAAACUCCUUUAGGCGGCGGUCUCACUCUGCUGCUGUAAACAUAAGCCAAAACAGUCACAACCGAAUCGAAACCGACUUCGUAAUCCUUGGCAAUCUCCUUAAGCUCGAGCUUCACGGCGGCGGUGUUGUUGGAGUCUUUCUCCUUCUUAGCGGCGG